AUUAAAAUAAAUUAAAUACAUAAAUUCAUGAAUAAAUAAAUAAAUAAAUUCCAGUUUCUGGGAAAUUCACCUGUGCUUAAUGAUAAAUUUCAGUUGCCAUUAAGGCGAGUUAAGAGAGAAAAAUAUGAUCAAAAAAAAAAGAGAAAGGAAAAUCUGGCAAAAUAUAGUCAAGUGUGUCUUAUGAUAGAUGCCAUGGCCAUCAGGAAACAAGUUCAGUACAACUCCCACACUCAGACAAUGUCUGGCUUUGUGGAUCUUGGCGACGGCAUGAACGAAACCAGUGUGGCUAGGUCACUGGAAGGCCUCCAUCGCCUACUUCCUUACAAAUUCAUUGAAACCAGGAACUCAGAAGUUUUUGCUGGUGCAUGCAUUAGAGGCAUUGCAGGAGCGGGGUAUCAAAGUCCUGUGUGUGACAAUGGAUGGACAUGCAACCAAUAUCAGCAUGUGCACAAUGCUCGGAUGCCAGCUGCACCUGAAGUCUUCGGAUGCUCUGACUACAUAUUUUCCUCACCCUUCGACAGGUGAGCGAGUUUAUGUAAUGAUGGACGCAUGUCAUAUGCUCAAAUUGGCCAGGAACAUGUUGCAGGCAUACAGCCCCAAUUUGAGCUCCGCAGGACAAGUAAAAUGGAGCUACAUAUCACAACUAAAUGAAGUCCAAGAAAAAGAAGGUCUGCAGGCUGCCAACAGGGUCACAAGCAAACACAUCAACUUCACUACACAGAAGAUGAAGGUAUCCUUAGCUGCACAGACCCUGAGCCGGUCCGUUGGAGAAGCUCUGCUCAUGCUGAAAGAAACUGGAUACCCACAGUUCCAGGAUUGCUCAGCUACUGUGGAAUUUGUUGAGGCGAUCCUUGCUAAUUUUAGUUAUUGUGUGAUCAGAGGUAAAUGUAAUGGCCAGUUAGGAGUAAAUGUAAUGGCUAAACCUAUUUGAAUACGGGAGUUUUUGUUUUUCAGAUGAUUGACCGCUUGUUCGACAUCAUGAACAGCUGAAAUCCACGCGCCAAAGGCUUCAAGGCACCUUUGGGUUCCUUCAACUGGGCAAGGACAUCAGAGUUCCUGAAAGAAGCCUGGCUACACCCCCCUCUUUCUAUCUCUCUCAUAUAGUUUUAUUUUGAUGUUCUAUUUUGAUGUUUUAUUUGAUGUUCCAGUUUGUUUGUUUUUUGUUGUCUGUUCUCAUAUUCUAUUUCCAGAAAAAUGAAGGACUUGAAAUUGGGUUUGGGUGGGUAUCAUGAAGUUACAGUAGGCCUACAGUGUUUAAGAAGUCCAAGCAACAUACGGGGCUCGUCAUCGGUUCUUAUCUGUGACUGGCUUCAUCAUCAACAUAGACACCAUAAUCAUGUUGAUUUAAGAGCUGCUUCAGUCACAGCGAUAUGUAUGCACAUAUCGCUUCAGCCAAGACCAUUGGAGCUCCUGUUUAACUCCAUCAGGGCAGCAGGUGGAUGGAACAACAAUCCAAGUCCAGUUCUAUUCCAGAGCAUCUUCUGCCGUCUCAUGGUCCGCUGUGGGGUUUCUCCGGGGAGCACUGGCAACGUGACAGCACAAGAUGGAACAGUCUCCUUGCCUGUUGUGGACAUGUCAUCUGUGGUCACGGCAGAUGACGCUGACACUGCCUCCUCCAAUCAUCACUAUUCCAUCAUGUCAUUGGUGGUCAGCUACUUCCACAAGUUGAGGCAGCAUCACAUUGCCAAACUUCAUACUCUGCAACUGCAAAGUGGUAGUUUGUGACACAAGCUCACUAAAACUGUAUUGUUUCAAGGCCAUUGACAAUAGUGCACAGGCCAGAUGUCAUGUGCAGGGGGGAAAGGGGGGAGGGUCCUGAGGAGGAUGAAGAUGCUGUGUGGCUGCACUCCAUGGCUGGCUCCCUCAAAAC